rnacentral:rRNA from 1 species
GUCUUUUUGAUUAUAAUUUAAGGUCGGGCCUGCCCAAUGAUAAGUUCAAUGGCUGCAGUAUUUUGACUGUACAAAGGUAGCAUAAUCAUUAGUCUUUUAAUUAAGGACUAGAAUGAAUGGUCUGAUGAGAAAAUAGCUGUCUUAAGUUAAUUUUAUAUGAAAUUUAUUUUUAAGUUAAAAAGCUUAAAUGUUGUUAAAAGACGAGAAGACCCUAUAGAGUUUUAUAUUGAUUUAUUUGUAUAGAUUUAAGUAUUUAAUUCUUUCUAUUUAAUAAGAUAUUUGAUUGGGGUGAUUAGAAAAUUUGAUUAACUUUUUUUAUUGUAUUAACAUUAAUUUAUGAUUUAAUGAUCCAUUUUUUAUGAUUAUAAGAUUAAAUUACCUUAGGGAUAACAGCGUAAUUUUUUUGGAGAGUUCUUAUCGAUAAAAAAGUUUGCGACCUCGAUGUUGGAUUAAAAUUUAUUUUUGACGCAAAAGUUAAGUAUAUUAGGUCUGUUCGACCUUUAAAAUUUUACGUGAUC